rnacentral:lncRNA from 1 species
UCAUAAGAAACAGUUUAGCUAUUAAGUGGAAGCACUCAAUAAUUAUCUUGCUAAACCAACUUUGAUAUAAACCAACUUAUCAAGAUGAACUAUCUCGAGUAGAUAAUCUGGAAAUUAUGCUCGAAGUUAGAUUACUGAGCAAUUUACCUCGCAAGCAAAGGCCAGGCUGCGGGUUAAUAACAAUUGCGCAUGUAACCAUUUCAUAGAUGCAUCAUAUGUGG